rnacentral:lncRNA from 1 species
GCUGCGGCUAUCUUUAACAUUCCAUUGUGUUUUCAUUAAAGAAGUACACUCCUUAAUUGUGUUUUCAUUCGAUUUUGUAUAGAUGACAGAAGUUGAAAGUAGAGCAAGUGAGGUAGGUUCAUCUGAAAGCGAACCUACUUCUUCACCUACAAAUUCAGUUAGUCAAGACCCAAAAAAAAAAAUCUGUACAAACUAGAUCACUUGCUUGGGAUCAUUUUGAAAAGUUUAAAGAUUUUAAUGGAGAUGAUAGAGCAAAGUGUAAAUAUUGUAGUCGUGAUUAUAAGGCUAAUUCACGAUUGAAUGGAACAACAUCAUUGAAUACUCAUUUAAAGAAGUGUCCAAAAAUACCACGAAAAGUUGAUAAUACUCAAACACAAUUGUGUUUUCAAACGGAUGGGCAAAUUAAUGGUGGGGUGCUUUGGAAAUUUGAUCAAGAACUAGUUAGGAGGGCUUUAGUUGAGAUGGUAAUUAUGGAGGAAUUACCUUUUAGCUUUGUUGAAAAGAAAGGCUUUAAAAAGUUUAUGAGCAUAGCCCAACCUCAAUUUAAUGUUCCUUCUCGUAGGACAAUUUUCAAGGGAUUGUUUCCAAGUUUACAAUGAAGAGAGGCUUAAACUAAUGAAAAAUUUUAGAGAUGUAAAACCAAGAAUUUGCCUUACCACAGACACAUGGACUUCGUUAUAAAGAAUUAACUAUAUGUGUUUGACGGGUCAUUUUAUUGAUAGAGAUUGGUUGUUGCAUAAAAGAAUACUAAAUUUUUGCCCUAUCUCUAGUCAUAAGGGUGACGAAAUAGCAAAGGUUAUUGGUAAUUGUUUGCUUGAAUGGAAAUUGGAUAAGGUAUUCACUGUUACCAUUAAUAAUGCCUUUUCAAAUGAUGUCAUGGUUAAAGAAUUGUCUAAACAACUAGAUAUGAGGAAAACUAAUUCGAUGGGUGGCAACCAUCUUCAUGUGAGAUGCGUGGCUCACAUACUUAAUCUAAUUGUGCAAGAUGGUUUGAAGAAAAUUGAUAUUUCUGUAAAAUGUGUUGGACAAGCUGUUAGGUAUGUGAGAUCAUCUCCACAAAGGACCUUAAAGUUUAGGGAAUGUUGUGCACAUCAAGAGGUAGAAUACACAUAAAAUACAUGAAAUACAUAUAUAUAUAUANNNNNNNNNNNNNNNNNNNNNNNNNNNNNNNNNNNNNNNNNNNNNNNNNNNNNNNNNNNNNNNNNNNNNNNNNNNNNNNNNNNNNNNNNNNNNNNNNNNNNNNNNNNNNNNNNNUAUAUAUAUAUAUAUAUAUAUAUAUAUAUGUAUAUACACAACUAUAAGAAGUUAAUAACCACUAAAUAAUAGUCAUUUAUGAAUAUUUCUCAAAAAAAUUCGGGCUGACUUGAUAGAAGGCCCUAUGAGUUUCAAAUCGCUAGCCCAAACUUGUCUGGCGGAUUGGAUCAACAAUAAGUAAAAAUAAUACCAGGUAACCACUCGUAUGCUAUUUAGGAAUCAAUUAGUGUAUUCUGAAUCUUAAAUUUUCAGUUUAAAAUUUUAAAAUAAAAAUAUUCUAAAAUUAAAAUUUAUAAUUUACAAUUUCAAAAUAAAAUAAAUAUUAAUUAAUCUCAAAAUAGCAUCCUAGAGAUGUUGUGUGUGCACUUGCCCCCGAUAAUACUAUUAUUGGCUUAUUCUUCAAACCCAAAUUUGAAAAGAUUUAUCAGCCCAUUAAUUUGCGUAAGAAUCUCGUCUUGGGUCAGGUUGUCGCAUUUCUCCCUCAACGUCGAUCUCUCUAGAAUCUCCUUCUUCCGUCGGCGAACUCAUUCCGAUCUCUUUCUCUGGCGAAUUCCACUCGUAAGAAACUCUCCAAUCUCUCUUCUGUUCCAAUAUUCUUUUCUUUUGUAAUUAAACUGAUUCUAUAAUCAAAUUUUCUUCCCGUAUUGUUUUAAAUUUAAGCUGGCAUUACAUGCUGAUUGCUUGUAUGAAAAAUCAGUGUAGUAAUUAAUACAAUAAAAAGGUAGAACCUUUAUCAUUGUUUUAUGGGUCCUGCUCUUGCAUCACUUUAGUGGAACUUUGCGACUAUCAAGUCAUUUUUCCAUUCUUGCUAAUUAUAUUAAAAUUCCAGGUUUCAUUUUUUUCUUCUCACGGGCCAUAAGAUCAAGGUUAGUUUGUUAGAUUACUUGAAAAUCAAUAUCUCUAUUAAAAGUAACUAAUAACUCGCAAUUAUUAGUUUCUUUUUCCUUGGAAGGAGCAAUUGAUAGGAACAUGUUGCUGUCGAGAAUUGUGGUAGAAGGUUAGUAGGCAGUCGUGUGUGUGUCUUUCCCGUACCAGUAGGAUUAGUUUUUAACCUUGUAUGUGAUAAAUAUCUGUGACUACAUGUUGUUAAGUACGUUUGUUUUCUUAAUUAAAUUGUUGUUGCUACUGCUAUCUUUUCAUCUUUUUUUGAUACGGGUCUAUCAGAAACCUCUCUACCUUCAAGGUAGGGGUAAGUUUUGUGUACAACCCAAUUGUGGGAUUAUAUUGAGUUUUGUUGUUGUUGUUGUUGUUAUUGAAGGAGCAAUUAUUAUUAGUUCUUGAAGGGUGCACUGUAGUGUAUACUACAUCCAGGAGUUUGGUAAUCUUGUUUGAUUGAAAAAUGACCCCUGAAAUUAUGUAGUGAAUUAGUUACAAGAGAUGUAGAAGAAGAAGUGGGAGCACGAUAACUUCAGCUUAUUGAGUAAUUUGUAUGCCUGUUGUAUUUAGCAUCAAAUAUACUUUAGCUUGUUGGUCUACAAUCUCAGCGGAAGCUAAAAAUUCUGUCUAAACCUUGAUGAGAGGAAUUACCCGGUACUUGUGUUGGUGGGCUAGUAGCAGGUAUCGGGUGAAUAGCGAGUUACACGCAAGUUUGACUGAUACCACCAUCAUUAAAAAAAAGAGAAAAAGAGAGAAGAAUCAUGUUGGUCUAGUGAAUCUGCUUGUAGCACAUUGGAUAUUCUGCUUCUUUUGCAUAUCCAUGUUACAACUGGCAAUACAUGGUGGUUUCUCAAAAUGAUUGUUCAUUUUGAUACUUGAAGCUAAUUCUAAUAUUAAAACAAUAAAUCAAGCUUUCCUUGCCUAUUCACUGAUGAAGACAAGCUUGAGGUUGACGAUUUUUGCCAGAAAUAAAAAAACAAACAAAAGGAAUUUGAUGUUUUUGGGGUAUGAUGAGAUGUGAAUAGUUUUCUGUUUUUCAAGUUUAAUUAGUGCCUGAAAUGGGUAAAUGUUGUCCUUUGAUUAUGCUGUGUAGUGCCAGACUUGUUUGAGGAUUCUUGUGGGAUUUGAGGUCUGCAAAUAGGCAAUAAGUUAACAUAAGAAGACAGGAAAAGGAUAAAAUCUGGGUGUUGCACUCGGGGUUCUUUAGCGUUUAGUUGUAUCAUCCAUCUUCUCUUGUGUACAUUUUAGAGACUCACGCAAAUCAAAUAUGGAGUUCAAACUCGUCCUUACAUCAUUUGACUUUUAUCUGGGUUGUCAGCUCAAUCCAACUCUUUCACAAAUUUAAUCCUUGAAACGCCAGUUAGGUAGUUAUUGUUGUUUUUGAUGACUUGAUGGUCGAUUGCCUAGUAUCCCUGCGGAAUGAAAAAAAACUGCAAUGAUACAUUAUUCUGCGUUACUCGCAAAAGGAGGGGUGGAUGGGUUUUUGAUUUUCUUAUCCUGGUGAAUUUUCACCUAUUAUACCUAGAUAGGAACAUGGAGAAAU